rnacentral:rRNA from 1 species
AACGAACGCUGGCGGCAGGCCUAACACAUGCAAGUCGAACGCUGUAGCAAUACAGAGUGGCAGACGGGUGAGUAACGCGUGGGAACGUGCCCUUCGGUUCAGAAUAACUCAGGGUAACUUGAGCUAAUACCGGAUCCGUUCGAGAGCAGAAAGAUUUUUAGCCGAAGGAUCGGCCCGCCUCCGAUUAGGUAGUUGGUGUGGUAAUGGCGCAAAAAGGCGACGAUCGGUAGCUGGUCUGUGAGGAUGAUAAGCCACACUGGGACUGAGAUACGGCCCAGACUCCUACGGGAGGCAGCAGUGGGGAAUAUUGGACAAUGGGCGCAAGCCUGAUCCAGCCAUGCCGCGUGAGUGAUGAAGGCCCUAGGGUUGUAAAGCUCUUUCGCCAGGGACGAUAAUGACGGUACCUGGAUAAGAAGCCCCGGCUAACUUCGUGCCAGCAGCCGCCGUAAAAC